rnacentral:rRNA from 1 species
UACGGAGGGUGCAAGCGUUAUCCGGAUUCACUGGGUUUAAAGGGAGCGUAGGUGGCUUUGUAAGUCAGUGGUGAAAUGUCGCAGCUUAACUGCGAAACUGCCAUUGAUACUGCUUAGCUUGAAUCAAGUCGAGGUGGAUGGAAUAUUACAUGUAGCGGUGAAAUGCUUAGAUAUGUAAUAGAACACCGAUUGCGAAGGCAGUUCACUAGGCUUGUAUUGACACUGAGGCUCGAAAGCGUGGGGAGCAAACAGG